rnacentral:rRNA from 1 species
AGUGAACGCUGGCGGUAGGCCUAACACAUGCAAGUCGAACGGCAGCACAGUAAGAGCUUGCUCUUACGGGUGGCGAGUGGCGGACGGGUGAGGAAUACAUCGGAAUCUACUUUUUCGUGGGGGAUAACGUAGGGAAACUUACGCUAAUACCGCAUACGACCUACGGGUGAAAGCAGGGGAUCUUCGGACCUUGCGCGAUUGAAUGAGCCGAUGUCGGAUUAGCUAGUUGGCGGGGUAAAGGCCCACCAAGGCGACGAUCCGUAGCUGGUCUGAGAGGAUGAUCAGCCACACUGGAAUUGAGACACGGUCCAGACUCCUACGGGAGGCAGCAGUAGGGAAUAUUGGACAAUGGGCGCAAGCCUGAUCCAGCCAUACCGCGUGGGUGAAGAAGGCCUUCGGGUUGUAAAGCCCUUUUGUUGGGAAAGAAAAGCAGCAGGUUAAUACCCCGCUGUUCUGACGGUACCCAAAGAAUAAGCACCGGCUAACUUCGU